UAAAAUGUCAUGGCAGGAAUGUCAUAAUUAGGAAAACUAUGUCUAGGGCUGCCUGGGUGGCUCAGCGCCCCGAGUGUCUGACUCUUGAUUUCAGCUCAGAUCAUGAUCUCAUGGUCAUGAGAUCGAGCUCUGCGUCGGGCUCCUCGCGGAACGCGGAGCCUGCUUCAGGUUCUCUCUUUCCCCCUCUGUCCCUCUCCCCUGCUCUCUCUCUCUCUAAAAAAAUAAAUAAAAUGA